rnacentral:rRNA from 1 species
AGCAGCCGCGGUAAUUCCAGCUCCAAUAGCGUAUAUUAAAGUUGUUGCAGUUAAAAAGCUCGUAGUUGAAUUUCGGGAUCAAUGGGUCGGUCGUGCCAAUGGUAUGUACUGGCCUCAUUGGUUCUCACCUUCUAAGGAACCAUGAUGUCAUUUAUUUGAUGUUGUGGGAAAUUAGGACUGUUACCUUGAAAAAUUAGAGUGUUUAAAGCAGGCUAACGCUUGAAUACAUUAGCAUGGAAUAAUGAAAUAGGACAUCCAAUUCUAUUUUGUUGGUUUCUAGGAUCGAUGUAAUGAUUAAUAGGGAUAGUUGGGGGCAUUAGUAUUCAAUUGUCAGAGGUGAAAUUCUUGGAUUUAUUGAAGACUAACUACUGCGAAAGCAUUUGCCAAGGAUGUUUUCAUUAAUCAAGAACGAAAGUUAGGGGAUCGAAGACGAUCAGAUACCGUCGUAGUCUUAACCAUAAACUAUGCCGACUAGGGAUCGGAUGAUGUUAAUUUUUAAUGA